AGCAGCCGCGGUAAUUCCAGCUCCAAUAGCGUAUAUUAAAGUUGUUGCAGUUAAAAAGCUCGUAGUUGAAUUUCGGGACCAAUAUGUCGGUCGUGCCUCGGUACGCACUGGCUUAUUGGUUUCUCCUUUCUGAAGAACCAUGAUGUCAUUCAUUUGGUGUCGUGGGGAAUCAGGACUGUUACUUUGAAAAAAUUAGAGUGUUUAAAGCAGGCUCACGCUUGAAUACAUUAGCAUGGAAUAAUGAAAUAGGACGUUUGAUUCUAUUUUGUUGGUUUCUAGGAUCGACGUAAUGAUUAAUAGGGAUAGUUGGGGGCAUUAGUAUUCAAUUGUCAGAGGUGAAAUUCUUGGAUUUAUUGAAGACUAACUACUGCGAAAGCAUUUGCCAAGGAUGUUUUCAUUAAUCAAGAACGAAAGUUAGGGGAUCGAAGACGAUCAGAUACCGUCGUAGUC
rnacentral:rRNA from 2 species